rnacentral:rRNA from 1 species
UACAGAGGUCCCAAGCGUUGUUCGGAUUCAUUGGGCGUAAAGGGUGCGUAGGUGGCGCCGUAAGUCGGGUGUGAAAUUUCGGAGCUUAACUCCGAAACUGCAUUUGAUACUGCGGUGCUUGAGGACUGGAGAGGAGACUGGAAUCACGGUGUAGCAGUGAAAUGCGUAGAUAUCGUCUGGAACGCCAAAGGUGAAAACAGGUUGCUGGAGCCACGCUGACGCUGAGACACGAAAGCCAGGGGAGCAAACGGG